GUGGCAUUGGCUGUUGUAGUGUGGGCUGCAGUUGUGGUGACAGGUGAAGUUGUAGUUGCAGCUGCAGUUGUAGUGUUAGCCUCUGUCGUAAGAGUGGCGGCAGUUGUGGUGGCAGAAGCUGUUGAAGUGUGGGCUGCAGUUGUGGUUGCAGGGGAUGUUGUAGUGGCAACUGCUGUUGUAGUACCAGCUGCAGUUGUGGUGGCAUUGGCUGUUGUAGUGUGGGCUGCAGUUGUGGUGACAGGGGAAGUUGUAGUGGCAACUGCUGUUGAGGUACCAGCUGCAGUUGUGGUGGCAUUGGCUGUUGUAGUGUGGGCUGCAGUUGUGGUGACAGGUGAAGUUGUAGUUGCAGCUGCAGUUGUAGUGUUAGCCUCUGUCGUAAGAGUGGCGGCAGUUGUGGUGGCAGAAGCUGUUGAAGUGUGGGCUGCAGUUGUGGUUGCAGGGGAUGUUGUAGUGGCAACUGCUGUUGUAGUACCAGCUGCAGUUGUGGUGGCAUUGGCUGUUGUAGUGUGGGCUGCAGUUGUAGUGACAGGUGAAGUUUUAGUAGCAGCUGCAGUUGUAGUAGCAGCCUCUGUUGUAAGAGUGACUGCAGUUGUGGUGGCAGAAAUUGUUGAAGUGUGGGUGGCAGUUGUGGUUUUAGGGGAAGUUGUAGUGGCAACUGCUGUUGUAGUACCAGCUGCAGUUGUGGUGGCAUUGGCUGUUGUAGUACCAGCUGCAGUUGAGGUGGCAUUGGCUGUUGUAGUAUGGGCUGCAGUUGUGGUUAGAGGGGAAGUUGUAGUGGCAAC
ensembl:lncRNA